rnacentral:rRNA from 1 species
CCCUUUCCUCCCUUCAACCCGUUAUUUAUACUGAGUGAUUUUAUAUUUUUAUAAAAGCCAUUAUGCUAGAACUAGUAACAAAGAAACAGAAUUUCUCCAAAAUGAUAGCUAAAGCCACAAUGAACCACCCAUUGGCAAUUAACGUAGUUGAUUCCAUUACAGCAACCUUCAACUAGAAAAACCUGUAAAAUUUUGACGUUAACCUAACACAAGCCCAUUUCCGGAAGAUUAAAAGAAAAAGAAGGAAUUCGGCAAUAAUGACCUCGCCUGUUUACCAAAAACAUCGCCUCUUGACAAAACAUAAGAGGUCCCGCCUGCCCACUGAAAAUUCAACGGCCGCGGUACUCUGACCGUGCAAAGGUAGCACAAUCACUUGUUCUUUAAAUAAGGACUAGAAUCAAUGGCAUCACGAGGGUCCUACUGUCUCCUUUUUCUAAUCAGUGAAACUGAUCUCCCCGUGAAGAAGCGGGGAUAACUUUAUAAGACGAGAAGACCCCAUGGAGCUUCAAACUCAAUAGUUAACUCAUGUAAGCCACAUGACAACUAAGAGAUAUAACUAUUAAUUUUGGGUUGGGGUGACCACGGAGAAUAACACAACCUCCACAAUGAAAAGAAUAAUACCUUUAUCUAUGAGUCACAUUUCUAAGAAUUAGUAAACUAACAUAAAAUGAUCCGAUAAUAUCAUUCGAUCAAUGAACCAAGUUACCCUGGGGAUAACAGCGCCAUCCACUUUGAGAGUUCAUAUCGACAAGUGGGUUUACGACCUCGAUGUUGGAUCAGGGUUCCCAGUGGUGCAGCCG